UUUAGGGUUUUUAUUAGCUUUUUAGUAGGCUUUUCCAUUUUGGGGUUUUUGAUGGAUUGGCAUGUUGAUUAUGCUUUUUUUUUUUGUCUACUGAUUGCAUUUGACAAGGAUCUCAUAACACAAAUAAACUGGAUGGUUGGUAUGGUUUAUUAGUAGAUCUAUUGAUUCAGGGCUACAGAUAUGUUCCUAUGGGAUUUGUCAAUAGAUAUGGUGUAUGGAUUUUACCUCCAGGUACAAGGCAUAUAUUCUAACAGGACACAACUUAGACUUACAUCUUUGAGUUGGGGUUGGGGUGAAAAUACUCUGUGAUUAAAUAGAAUGAGUUUGAGGUUCCUCUCAGAUCCAGAAUGGGACCCACUAGAUCAAUGGUCCUUGUCGGCCAAACAUGGGCCUUAUGUGAAUGGAAUCCUGCACUUCAAGAAGAAGUUUCGCUGCUUGCAUUUUUUCUUAUCUUCAUUCCUAGUUUUCCUAUAAUGCCUAGCAUCUUACCAUUAGCCUUCUUCAGAACACAUAGCAUGUUUUGGCUGCUCAAUACUGAUGCUCUUGAUGCACGCUCAAUACUGUGUAUGUAUUGUCAGGAAAGCUCAAUGGGAACAUUUACAUGGUGAGACCCACAUGAUGGAUGGCUUGGAGAUUACACCAGUUUGCCAUGCUGGCACGUGUAGACAAUGGGCUUAGCAAAGCCCAUUUCAUAUCUUAUAAUUAAUCUCAUCAUGUGUUGGGCAUAUGUAAUUAACAGUGGCCAACAAACACAUCAAUGGUGGAUCUGUAUAGGCUGGGCCCUUCUUAGCAUUCUGAGCCAUAGGCUCUGUCAGUACCAAGCCGGAUCUGCAUCGUCUGGUGGGCACCCCCUGAUUUUAUCUGUUAGAAAUUGGAAGAUGGAUUGGAUUGUGAAACGGGUUUAUCUAGUGUCAAUUGUAGAGGAAUCAUUCUAUCCUCUUCUUCUUUUUUGGGUUAGUUUCGGUCUUCUAUGAUUACUUUGUUGACUCUAUGAAUGGUUUUAUUGCUUUCCGUAUUCUAUUGUUUCCACAUGCUUCUCUCUUAGUAGUUAGUUACUUGGAGUUCUGCAACAAUUUACUUUUUGUGGACAAGUAUAGCAGUAGGGAAUACUAUGUUAAAAUGCUCCAGGCCAUGUUCAGAUAAUUUCUUAUGUUAUUUGUAUUCUUUACUUCUCGCAGUUAUGCAUGACUUGUGACUUAUUCACACAGAUCUGAAGCCGGAAAAUAUACUUCUUGUUUCUGUAGAAUAUGUGAAGGUGCCAGAUUAUAAGGUGUACUUAAAACAUGCAUAUUUAGGUUUACAAUUUCAUAUGAGAUUUUUAUUGAAGUUUAACCUAGUAAAUUUGUUUUCCAUUUUUUUUUUUUUUUUGUUGAAAUAUGUAUCCUUUGGCAUGCAUCAUCAUCUCAUGUUCUUUUUUUUUUUUUUUUUUUUUGUGUGAUAUGUAUAUGUUAUAUGUAUACAAACAUGCUACAAGGAUUUAAUUGUGUUUAUUUCAUUUGUAUCAUGCAGAAGGCUUCCUUCUACAAAUUUUCAGUCACCUGACAUAAAUGCACUGUAGUUCUAGAAAUGAGAAGAGUUUGAGGAAUUAUGCAACUGCAACCGGUUCAAAGGAAGGAAAAGUGAAGAAUCAACAAUUGAGGAUAGAACUUGAGAAUUGAAAAACAAGGCUGAGAGCAUUGCAAAGAUGGAAAAGAUCAUUCAAGAGAGGUUUAUGGCUAAUGAUGGGAAGAUGAAGCUGAAGGCAAUGCUUCCAACCCAUUCCUCUUCAGAAAUACAUUCUGGAAAACUUCAGAACCUUGGUCUGAUUUCUAUUCUUGAUUAUACCUGCAAUGCCAUUCCAAAUCAGCCUGGAAAGUAAGUCCAAUUAUACCUGCAAUGCCAUUCCAAAUAUCUUUUUUCAAUGUACAUGAUGCAUUUCUCAUAAGAAUCUAGAGUAUUCCAUUCUGGAUUUUGAACAUUCCUCAGCAGAAAUUUUCAGCAUCUCUACCUUUGCUAGUUCUAUAUGCAUUACAAGUUUCAGUUAAGAUGAUU